UACGUAGGUGGCAAGCGUUGUCCGGAAUUAUUGGGCGUAAAGCGCGCGCAGGUGGUUUCUUAAGUCUGAUGUGAAAGCCCACGGCUCAACCGUGGAGGGUCAUUGGAAACUGGGAGACUUGAGUGCAGAAGAGGAUAGUGGAAUUCCAAGUGUAGCGGUGAAAUGCGUAGAGAUGUGGAGGAACACCAGUGGCGAAGGCGGCUCUCUGGUCUGUAACUGACGCUGAGGCGCGAAAGCGUGGGGAGCGAACAGG
rnacentral:rRNA from 1 species